rnacentral:misc_RNA from 1 species
AUCCAAGAGGACUGAUCCUGCAAUGGCUUUAACUUCUGAUUGUGUAUAUGUGUCAACAUCUCAUGAGAGUGACAAUAUGGUUCCAAUAUCAAAUAGGAGUGACAGCAUAACUCCAGCCUCACAUAGGACUGAUGCUUCUGUACAUCCAGUUUCUGAGAGGUUAUUUGACUUUAUAGCAACUUCUCACUUGAACGACAGUAUGGGUCAAACAUUUUCAAGAACUGAUACCAUGUUUCCAACUUCUGAGAAACGAUACAUAC